GGGAAUGUGGCUUAGUGGUAGAGUGCUUGCUUUGCAUGCAUGAGGCCGUGGGUUCGAUUCCUCAGCACCA
rnacentral:tRNA from 1 species